ensembl:snoRNA SNORD115 Small nucleolar RNA SNORD115
GGGUGGGUGAUGAGGCCUCAUACUGCCUUAAAGAGAUAUAAUGACUUGAAAAUCAUGCUCAAUAGGAUUACUCUGAGGCCC